UACGGGGAGGCAGCAGUGGGGGAAUAUUGCACAAUGGGCGCAAGCCUGAUGCAGCCAUGCCGCGUGUAUGAAGAAGGCCUUCGGGUUGUAAAGUACGUUUACAGCAGUGAGGAAGGCGGGUACGUUAAUAGCGUAUUCGUUUGACGUUUAGCUGCAGAAGAAGCACCGGCUAACUCCGUGCCAGCAGCCGCGGUAAUACGGAGGGUGCGAGCGUUAAUCGGAAUUACUGGGCGUAAAGCGCAUGCAGGUGGUUUGUUAAGUCAGAUGUGAAAGCCCGGGGCUCAACCUCGGAAUUGCAUUUGAAACUGGCAGACUAGAGUACUGUAGAGGGGGGUAGGAAUUUCAGGUGUAGCGGUGAAAUGCGUAGAGAUCUGAAGGAAUACCGGUGGCGAAGGCGGCCCCCUCGGACAGAUACUGACACUCAGAUGCGAAAGCGUGGGGAGCAAACAGGAUUAGAUACCCCUGUAG
rnacentral:rRNA from 1 species